ACGCUCGACACCUACGGGAGGCAGCAGGUGGGGAAUAUUGCACAAUGGGGGAAACCCUGAUGCAGCGACGCCGCGUGAGCGAAGAAGUAUUUCGGUAUGUAAAGCUCUAUCAGCAGGGAAGAAACUGACGGUACCUGACUAAGAAGCACCGGCUAAAUACGUGCCAACAGCCGCGGUAAUCUGAGCGGGCUGGCAAGGC
rnacentral:rRNA from 1 species